AGUUUACAGACUACUCUGCCUUCUCCCCUCUUUCUGCUUCUGUAGUUCUUUUGCUGUUUCUACUUCCUAUUUUCCACCACAAUUCCCUGAUUAAAGGAUGCUUUUCUAGCAGAAACAGAUUCGCAGUAAGCUCAAACAUGACGUCGUUUUUGGUCUCUCGCGCUUCCGGCAACAUCGCCGCCACCAGAAGGUUGCGCAAUUCCUCUCUCUCGUCUUCACUUUCUCUCUUCAACCAUACAGGCGUCGUCUCUCCAAGUUGCCUAUCAGAACCAAACCCUAAAACCAACUAUAGCAUCCCUGCAUUUUACCCAUUUACUCAAUCUUACUACUGGAGAAAUUUUGAAUUUUCCCGCAAUGAUCAGAACUCUAAUUACUCCAAUUUGAGGUUUGUUGAAGGAAUUUCGACGCUAUCGAGCUCUAAGAAGAACGAGGAUAAUAAGGAGAAUGGAGGGUUUUCGAAAGAGAGAGAUGUGUCUUGGAUCGAUUUGUACUUGCCGAGACUGGUUCGCCCUUAUGCACGGCUUGCCCGACUUGAUAAGCCGAUAGGAACUUGGCUGCUUGCUUGGCCUUGUAUGUGGUCAAUUUCGUUGGCAGCAACCCCGGGGCACGUUCCUGAUUUUAAGAUGAUGACUUUAUUUGGUUGUGGGGCUUUGCUUUUAAGGGGUGCUGGAUGUACCAUAAAUGAUCUCCUUGAUAGAGACAUUGAUACCAAGGUGGAACGUACAAAGUUGAGACCAGUUGCAAGUGGUCUUUUGUCACCAUUUCAAGGGCUUUGUUUUCUUGGUUUUCAGUUGAUGUUGGGUCUUGGAAUUCUCCUUCAACUAAAUAAUUAUAGCCAAAUUUUGGGAGCAUCAUCCUUGUUGCUAGUCUUCUCCUAUCCCCUCAUGAAGAGAUUGACAUUUUGGCCUCAAGCCUAUCUAGGUUUGACAUUUAACUGGGGAGCUUUAUUAGGGUGGUCUGCUAUUAAGGGAAGUUUAGAUCCAGCCGUUGUUUUGCCACUGUACGUGGGUGGAGUAUUUUGGACCCUUGUGUAUGAUACCAUAUAUGCCCAUCAGGAUAAGGAGGAUGAUCUCAAAGUGGGCAUUAAAUCAACUGCUCUGAGAUUUGGGGAUUCAACAAAGGAAUGGAUCACUGGGUUUGGAAUUGCAUGCAUUAGCAGUCUCGCUCUCAGUGGAGUCAGUGCUGAUAUUGGAUGGCCAUUUUAUGCAUUUCUGGCAGCUGCUUCUGGACAUUUAGCUUGGCAAAUAUGGACAGUUGACCUAUCUUGUCGGGCUGAUUGCAACAGAAAGAGACUUUAAUUAUGGGCCUUAUUAAGGAACAGUUGGAGUUGUAAACUUGUAAUUUUAUGGUUUGUGUCAAAUAAAUGGUUCGGUGCAUUAAUUUUCAGUGGCAUUUUGUUUGGUAGAUAUUUGUGAUGGAGGAGGUAUGGCUACCUUUCUCAAUAUAAAUUGUGUAAUCUAAGACUUGCUCCAUAUUUUCCUUGGUAAGGUUAAAACUAAAAAUUGGUUAUUCUAUUGAUUUUCUGGCUAUGGUGAAAGGAACCAAAAAUCAAUUAGUAAUAUGCAGAACUUUGCUCUCUACAUCUCUUGUAUUCUGAGACAGUUUAGGGCUUCAGACCACGUAAAAAGAAACAGCAAUACCUCUCAUCACUGUUCAGUUUUUGUUGGUACAGACAUUUUAAAUUUUUAUUUUUUAAUUUUUAAAUGGUUCACUUUUUUAAA